CACUCAUGGUUCUCUUCAGAUCGUAUAAAUCUUUCGCCUUUUACUAAAGAUUUCCGUGGGGAGGAACAUUAUGAGUAUACACUAAUUUUUGAUGCCCUGCUGUUUGGUGGGGC